rnacentral:lncRNA from 1 species
GAUCGUCCACCACCGUCUGAACGUGCAUAAACAUUUACGUGUUAUAUAUGUUUACGAUUAUUUGAUUAUGUUUCAUGCUAUAUCCAUAAAGUAUAAAUGCUUAUAAUGCAUACUUGUAAAACAUGAUUAGUAUGCAAGAUCGAAGUUAAAGUUCGUAUACAAAACCGGUUGAAACCAAUUAAACUAUUCUUGCAAAAGUGUUUUGCAAAAUUAUGAUAAGAAUUAAUAGUAUACUAUAUACAUUAUGUGCGCGCGGAUGCUUCAUUGUUAUUGCAGUUGUACAUUUAACAGUACAAAAUGCAAAAAUAUUUGUUAAACAUUCUUCAUUUUACAUAAUUAUGUGCGUGCGGUAACUGUGAGUUAAGUAGAUCACUCCCAGGCCUCGACAUUAUUAACAAAUAAUCUUUCUUCUAACAUCAUUGAUCUCAAGGAUCGCCCUGGCAGUAACACAUUUCGAUAAACGCAGUUGUUAAAAGUUUUUCAUCUUACAUUUCCAUAUGCGUGCGAAUAUUUUGACCCAGCUAGGAAUCUUUAUAUCAAGGAUCAAAUUAUAGAUCAAAUUAUAUCAAAAAAGAUCUAAUUUUAUCCAUCGGUAUGUAAAAUUAAAAUUAACGCAAUGGUUGAAUCAUAUUUUGUAUUAUUUGAGUAAUAUAAUUGUACAAAUACGUUGAGGCUGCGUAUUAUUAUCUACGAUUUUUGACCGAAGGAAGGGAUAGACUGCGAAACGCGCGAGACAAUAGGCAAAAGAUCGCAAGCAAUGACAGUGAAAAGACGGACAGUCGAGCAUUUAUGACAAGCGACAAAAUUCUAAUUUCCGCGAUUCGUCCUAUUUUAUAAUUGCAUUAUAUAAUACAACUCAUUAUUAGCACUAACAUCUCGGGUGUUUAAUUAAAAAUUCUGGAUUAUUCUAUAUUUGAUCCUUUUGAUAAAAUUUGUUCUACUUUGAUAUAAAGAUUCUUCCCUGUCAGAUAAACGGAUCGCUCCCGGAUCUCAAUUACUAAAAAUAAUUUUUUUGAACGUCAGAUAUCUGAAGGAUUGUUUUUUCAUUUUUUUCACAUAAUCAUUUUUUUUUAAUUUGUCAUACAUAUUCUAUAAAAAACAACGUUUUUUCAAAGCAUUCUCGAGUACUGCUGUAAAUAUACAGCAAUAACUUAAUUAAAAUACAAAGAAAAUAUUUGGCGAGGAUUUAGCGAAUUAUUAUUUAGCGGAUUACGAAUUAAAUAAUUCGUAAUUUAACAGCUCAUUCGCACGCAGCUUAAUCUUUUAAUCAUUAAUAAUAUUGUGUUAUUUCUUCGAGAAUCUCGAAAUAUCUGCUUCGAUAUGAUCGUUGUUAUAAAUAUUUAAUGCUAUAAACUAAUUCCGCUUAUUGUGAUAUCUAAAAUGUAAGGUUGCAACAAAGCUCUAUGAAAUAAAGAAAACCAUAAAGUUCACUUAUCAGACAAUGUAUAAAAUGUAAAAUAGAUUACUUGGCGUUUAAUUAUUUCUACAAUAUCUAUGGCCAUGACUAUAAUAUCUAUGCAUAUUACACGUCAAAUAUUUUGGUAAAAAAACUUGUUCAAGUAUCUAUAUCCUUUUGGUUCACAGUGAUAGUCUGAUAUAUGGUUGGCAUUCGUUUUUUUUUCUUUUCUAAGCGAAUUAAAGUUUGCAUAGAGGUUCAGAAGAAAUCUUCCUUCCCACGGGUACGACCUUGUCGUGGUGGGAAGGCUCAGUACCUCGAGGGCUUGAAUGCCUAUGGGGGAAGCUAACUGUACCCAUUGCACCUAUUGCACGUCGUCGAUUGUAAAAUUGUGAUUCGUCGCGCCGCGUUAACGCGGUUCGGGAGUGCCGACAGAUUGAAUUGAAAACGAACCGUAGCCGGCUCGUCGUGUCGCGCGUUUGCUUCGGGAGUGCCGUUAACAAAAGGACUGAAAGGACUUUUCGCAUAACUCCCAUUAGAAUGAUUUCUUAGUUCGAGAGAUACUUUCGAGGGUGGCACUUUCGAGGUCUCGAUAGUAUGGGAUGCUCAUGGAGGCGUUGCUUCUUGCGACGUUCUCGCACCAAGUGCGCUUCGCGUACGAGGUGAGUUAAGCUGGACCGAUGGAUACGCCUAAACGCUGGUAAAACCGCAUGACGCUGUCAGUGAGAAACAGUGAGAAUUCUUAAUUACGAUCUUAAUACGAUUGUAAUUUUGUAUUCUUCUGCGCGGUGCUUGACGUUUCGUGUUAGUUCCGUUGUGAUCCGUACUCGUCGACUCAAGGUGCUGAUCCCACGGAGCAUUCUCCGAACUGGAAAUCAUAUUGUGGGAGUUAUAAACGUGGGGUGACACAUUGGGAUGUCGCGCAAAAGACAUUUUGACGAUUAAUUAGUCCUCGCGCGAUUAUAACUUUAAUAAUCGCGAGUGUUUCUCGCGAGUGUUUUUCGCGAGUAUCUCGUGACAAAAAAGGACAGCCUGUUCUGAGAGGAGGAGGAGGUCCAGGAAGGGCAUCGGGCCCCGGCAGAGCAACCUUGGGAAUCAUCGUAGCGACGUUGCUGAAUAUCUCUGCCGCUGCGCAUCGAUCGGUGAGUGAUGAAUAAACUUUUAAAAUUGGAGUAAUAGAUCUGUGACAAAAUUGUACUUCAUAUAUAAUGUAGAAAUGUUUGCUAUAAUGCUGCAAUAAUAAAUAACAUUUAGAUAUCAUAUUUAUUUCAUGGAUCUAUUGCUUUAAAGUGGAUUGACUAAAACAGAUCAGGAUUUAACAUUUAAUCCUGAAUGAAUGAUAUACAUUAACUUAUCAUGCAUAUUUAAUUUAUUAAAUAAUUUUUUUUCGACGCCGUCGCAGUCUCGGCGAGGGUUAGGUAUGUGUUCAACAUCAUCAAAUAUAAAUUACAAGUAUAAUAAAAAAUAUAUAAUGUAUCUUGCACGUAUGCGCACAAUUAGAAACUGCGCGCCGUUUCGUCUCUGAUAAAUUCCGUCAAA